CUAUUUUUCAUUUUUCAAAUGUAAAAACGAUUUAAAACUUCUAUAUUUUAUGCUUUUUAUAGCAAUUAUUUAUUAGUUUAUUACAUAUUUUUGGUUUGUAAAUGCACCAAAAUCCAAGCCUUAGUAAGCACUUGGAUAUUUGUUUUGUACUCGCGGCGUGAUUAUCUACUUAGAAAUGACCUAAAGGCUUAUAUACCUACCUAGUGUGUAUUGGUCAAGGAAGUCUUACACGUACACAUUAUUUAUGUAACGACUUCAGUCAACCGAAAUGGAACAAGAAAACUUCUGUUUUAAAACUGUGCCACGUUGACCACGCUUAUUAAUUCCACCAGACAAAUUUUAAUAACACUGUCAAAAAAAUAAUGGGUACACACGGGAUCACAUGGAAAUAUUGUGUGAAAUUAAUUACUUACUGUAAAUUAUGCGUACACUUACACGCUGUACCAGUCGUACUUUACCACCCGUAGGUACCCCCACAGAGAAAAGUAUUAUUUUUGUUUUCCAACAAACGAACAAUUACUUUUAAAAGUAAAAAAAAAUUAAACCUAUUACGCCCACACGUAGGUACUUUUUAUAUUUAUGUCCUAUGAUAUGUUAUGUUUAUUUAAUAUUUUAACGAGUGUCAACUGUCAAUUAAAAUAUUAUGAUACACUGAUAAGUGAUAACACAGUGCCUGAUACAUUAUAAAAAUAACAUAAUAUGGAUAAUAAAUGUCUAAUCUUACCUAUUGAGUACCUACCUAUAAUACCGCUAUAAUAUUUUGCACUAACCAUGUUUGCAGUGGCCAAAACAUAUUUUGUAUAGUUAGAUAACAGCUUUUAAAUUAUUUCUGUUCGACAGUUAAAUAUUUAAAAAAUUAUUGUAAUUGGCGUGUAUUUUUUCGUUCUUGUUUUGGUUCGCUUUAAUUCAUUUUUUUUUUUUUAAGUGAAUAAUAAGCAAUCAUUCUGCUGUGCAGUUAGGUGUCGAGUGUAACUCGACAUUGAAGAGCAACUCAUCGUAAUGUAUGCGUUAAAUUAUUUUAAUUCAUUGAUAAAUAAUUGUAUGGAUACAAAAUACCUACCGCAGAGUAGGUAAAAUCAUUUUUUUCCAAAAACAUCGCAUUCGAAGCUAUCGUUGUGUAUAUGUAAAAUAUAUAGUAAUAUACUUUGGUUAAAAGUUUCGAUUACAGGAAUCGGAGUA